GGUCCCAGUUCGGAUUGUAGGCUGCAACUCGCCUACAUGAAGUCGGAGUUGCUAGUAAUCGCGGAUCAGAAUGCCGCGGUGAAUGCGUUCCCGGGUCUUGUACACGCCGCCCGUCACACCAUGGAAGUUGGGGGCGCCCGAAGUUGGUCGAGGAAUAGAUUACCUAAGGCGAAACCAAUGACUGGGGUGAAGUCGUAACAAGGUAGC
rnacentral:rRNA from 1 species